AAAACGACUCUCGGCAACGGAUAUCUCGGCUCUCGCAUCGAUGAAGAACGUAGCAAACUGCGAUACUUGGUGUGAAUUGCAGAAUCCCGUGAACCAUCGAGUCUUUGAACGCAAGUUGCGCCCGAAGCCAUUAGGCCGAGGGCACGUCUGCCUGGGCGUCACGC
rnacentral:rRNA from 46 species